rnacentral:lncRNA from 1 species
UUGGACUAACCAGAUAUUGGCAAUCUUUAGCCAUAUAUAAUUGGUGGAAAUACACAACCGAGUUUGGGAAUCUAAAUGGACUGAAAUUAGGAUCAGUCAUGAUCUUUUCAUCUUGCCUGUGUUUGCUUUUCUUUCUCCAUAUCAAGAUUGUGAAGAAGUUCUCUGGUUUUAGCACGCUCAAGUUCCAGCAACCGUUGUCUUUCAAUCUCCCUUUCAACUUCAGUAAAGAUAUGCAUACAAGGAUCGGAUGCCAUCUCUGAUUUGCUGAAGACAGUUAUCAUCAUUUACAUUAUCUGCAUGAGACAAAGUGGUAUGAUAGCUAUCAGCUUAUAAAAAACUAAUUCUGAUGUACUUCAUAAAUUUUGGACCAUAUUAUAAAAUUUGGAUUUGCCAACUUUAGAGAUGGAAAUAAUUACUAGGAAGAACAGAAUGCUAAUGUGAAUCUUUGGGAUGUUUAGAUGACUCCUGUAGCCCCAGUUCCUUCUGGAUAAGGUCCAUUUCCAUUUCAGCCUCCUCAAG